AUCCAGCUGACCACGAGUCCCAAGUUGAACGAAAUGCGCAUCCUGGAU
rfam:Trichobilharzia regenti genome assembly, scaffold: TRE_scaffold0025861